rnacentral:rRNA from 1 species
GGUNCUCGAGUGGCGAACGGGUGAGUAACACGUGGGUGAUCUGCCCUGCACUUUGGGAUAAGCCUGGGAAACUGGGUCUAAUACCGAAUAGGACCACGCGCUUCAUGGUGUGUGGUGGAAAGCUUUUGCGGUGUGGGAUGGGCCCGCGGCCUAUCAGCUUGUUGGUGGGGUAAUGGCCUACCAAGGCGACGACGGGUAGCCGGCCUGAGAGGGUGACCGGCCACACUGGGACUGAGAUACGGCCCAGACUCCUACGGGAGGCAGCAGUGGGGAAUAUUGCACAAUGGGCGCAAGCCUGAUGCAGCGACGCCGCGUGAGGGAUGACGGCCUUUCGGGUUGUAAACCUCUUUCAAUAGGGACGAAGCGCAAGUGACGGUACCUAUAGAAGAAGCACCGGCCAACUACGUGCCAGCAGCCGCGGUAAUACGUAGGGUGCGAGCGUUGUCCGGAAUUACUGGGCGUAAAGAGCUCGUAGGUGGUUUGUCGCGUUGUUCGUGAAAACUCACAGCUUAACUGUGGGCGUGCGGGCGAUACGGGCAGACUAGAGUACUGCAGGGGAGACUGGAAUUCCUGGUGUAGCGGUGGAAUGCGCAGAUAUCAGGAGGAACACCGGUGGCGAAGGCGGGUCUCUGGGCAGUAACUGACGCUGAGGAGCGAAAGCGUGGGGAGCGAACAGGAUUAGAUACCCUGGUAGUCCACGCCGUAAACGGUGGGUACUAGGUGUGGGUUCCUUCCUUGGGAUCCGUGCCGUAGCUAACGCAUUAAGUACCCCGCCUGGGGAGUACGGCCGCAAGGCUAAAACUCAAAGGAAUUGACGGGGGCCCGCACAAGCGGCGGAGCAUGUGGAUUAAUUCGAUGCAACGCGAAGAACCUUACCUGGGUUUGACAUGCACAGGACGCCGGCAGAGAUGUCGGUUCCCUUGUGGCCUGUGUGCAGGUGGUGCAUGGCUGUCGUCAGCUCGUGUCGUGAGAUGUUGGGUUAAGUCCCGCAACGAGCGCAACCCUUGUCCUAUGUUGCCAGCGGGUUAUGCCGGGGACUCGUAGGAGACUGCCGGGGUCAACUCGGAGGAAGGUGGGGGAUGACGUCAAGUCAUCAUGCCCCUUAUGUCCAGGGCUUCACACAUGCUACAAUGGCCGGUACAAAGGGCUGCGAUGCCGUGAGGUGGAGCGAAUCCUUUCAAAGCCGGUCUCAGUUCGGAUCGGGGUCUGCAACUCGACCCCGUGAAGUCGGAGUCGCUAGUAAUCGCAGAUCAGCAACGCUGCGGUGAAUACGUUCCCGGGCCUUGUACACACCGCCCGUCACGUCAUGAAAGUCGG